CACAUGUAAAGGACAGCAUGAAGAAAGAGAACUGUAUACUGGCAGCAGCAAUACAAUUAAAGUGAAAGUUUCUGUACACCUAGUCCUGCUUUUGUUUGUACAGGAGACAGAGACCAGUGCUCGGGCUGUCCUGACUGCUGAUCCACAAGGGUCAGACGUGUGGUUACAGGAGACUGUGCGUCUCAACUGUAAGGUAGAGGAUUCAGAUCCAUUCACCCGAUGGGAGUACUCCUGGAAGAAGUUAAGAGAAGUAGAAGAGCCCACACCCUACUCCUAUACUGGAGAAGGCUCUGCUGUUUACAUCCUGAACCAGGUGGUGGAGUCUGACAGUGCUCAGUAUUGGUGUGAAGCAAAGGCUGAAAAUCGCACGAUAAUCAGCACUCCGUAUACUCUGACAG